rnacentral:rRNA from 1 species
GAUGAACGCUAGCGGCAGGCCUAACACAUGCCAGUCGAGGGGCAGCACAGAAACAGCAAUGUUUUGGUGGCGACCGGCGGACGGGUGCGUAACGCGUAUGCAACCUACCUUUAACAGGGGGAUAACGGAGAGAAAUUUCCACUAAUACCCCAUAACAUCGAUCAAGGCAUCUUGAUUGGUUGAAAACUCCGGUGGUUAAAGAUGGGCAUGCGUUGUAUUAGGUAGUUGGUGAGGUGAUGGCUCACCAAGCCUACGAUACAUAGGGGGACUGGAAGGUUAGCCCCCCACACUGGUACUGAGACACGGACCAGACUCCUACGGGAGGCAGCAGUGAGGAAUAUUGGUCAAUGGGGGCAACCCUGAACCAGCCAUGCCGCGUGCAGGAAGACGGCUCUAUGAGCUGUAAACUGCUUUUAAACAGGGAUAAAGCACAGUAUGUAUACUGUGUUGAAGGUACUGUAAGAAUAAGGAUCGGCUAACUCCGUGCCAGCCGCCGCAGUAC